AGUGAACGCUGGCGGUAGGCCUAACACAUGCAAGUCGAACGGCAGCACAGUAAGAGCUUGCUCUUACGGGUGGCGAGUGGCGGACGGGUGAGGAAUACAUCGGAAUCUACUUUUUCGUGGGGGAUAACGUAGGGAAACUUACGCUAAUACCGCAUACGACCUACGGGUGAAAGCAGGGGAUCUUCGGACCUUGCGCGAUUGAAUGAGCCGAUGUCGGAUUAGCUAGUUGGCGGGGUAAAGGCCCACCAAGGCGACGAUCCGUAGCUGGUCUGAGAGGAUGAUCAGCCACACUGGAACUGAGACACGGUCCAGACUCCUACGGGAGGCAGCAGUGGGGAAUAUUGGACAAUGGGCGCAAGCCUGAUCCAGCCAUGCCGCGUGGGUGAAGAAGGCCUUCGGGUUGUAAAGCCCUUUUGUUGGGAAAGAAAAGCAGCAGGUUAAUACCCCGCUGUUCUGACGGUACCCAAAGAACAAGCACCGGCUAACUUCGUG
rnacentral:rRNA from 1 species